AAUUUACUUAUCUGUAUUUCAAGCUAAACACAAAAUAUUACUAAUUUCAUCAAUAAAGUAUAACAUCUUCUUAUACUGUUACUGUAAUUUCAAAAUUAAGAUAAGUAUUUCAGCUCAAAUUUUGUAAUUGUGUGUUCUAUUUGCUAACUAUUUUGUAGAUAAUGAAGCCACAAGAAAGGGAGAUCUUUUUUUUAGAUUCCCUAAAUGGCACAGGCUUCCGUGAUGAAAGCCAAAUGGAAACAUUGAGCUCUUGGCCAACCUGUUCGGCAUUAUUCCACUGUUGGUGGUUCUGCAGUUCUGCAGUGUUCAAAAACAAGUUGCUCUGCUUGUGUCACCUGGACCCUGGAGAGAAUUCUGUGCAAACGACAUUCAAGGCAUACCAAGACAACGGGCCUCCAACAACUGUGGGGUGUUUGUGCUCA